GACGAACGCUGGCGGCGUGCUUAACACAUGCAAGUCGAACGGUGAAGCGCCUUCCUUUUUGGUGGGUGUGGAUGAGUGGCGAACGGGUGAGUAACACGUGAGUAACCUGCCCCCUUCUUCUGGAUAACCGCAUGAAAGUGUGGCUAAUACGGGAUAUUCUGGGUCUGUCGCAUGAUGGGUCUGGGAAAGAUAUUGUUUCGGUGGGGGAUAGGCUCGCGGCCUAUCAGCUUGUUGGUGGGGUGAUGGCCUACCAAGGCGGUGACGGGUAGCCGGCCUGAGAGGGUGGACGGUCACACUGGGACUGAGACACGGCCCAGACUCAUACGGGAGGCAGCAGUGGGGAAUAUUGCACAAUGGGCGCAAGCCUGAUGCAGCGACGCCGCGUGAGGGAUGGAGGCCUUCGGGUUGUGAACCUCUUUCGCCAGUGAAGCAGGCCUGCCUCGUUUGUGGGUGGGUUGACGGUAGCUGGAGAAGAAGCGCCGGCUAACUACGUG
rnacentral:rRNA from 1 species